UUACAGUGCUGGAGGUAGAAGCCGGGGCCUCGAACAUGCCAGGCUAGCCCUGCUGCAUUCAGCUGCACCACAGCCCCAGUGCCCACCUCGAUCAUCAUGCGGUCCCAAAGGCGAGUCAGCUCCUGGCCUUGGUCUGUGUUGGCACUGUAGAAGGUCUUGCUAAGUCGCUGUGUUGCCAGGCUGGCCUCCAAUGUGUCAUCCUCCUGCCUCAGCUUCCCCGAGUGCUGGGAUUGCAGGUGUGCACACCAUGCUUGCUCCAUCUUACUCAAGAUAAAGCCAAGCCCCACAAGGCCCACCGGGGUCUCACCAUGAGGAUCAUGGACCGGCGGCAGCAGAGUGCUGCUCCCACACCGAAGCUGGCCACCGCGAAGAAGGAAAAGCCACAGAAGAUGGCGAUCCAGGCACCAGCGACGACAUCAUCCUUGCCUGAGACACCCAUCAGCGGGUACACGCGGUACUGGUCGGCUGUCACCCAUACUGUCUCGGCAAACAGAGCAAGGCCUGAUAGCUGGAAGGAGCAGCUGGUUAGAAGUGGUUCCUUCCCUCUUCUGAGCCUCCACUGUCCUCUCACGGUGGCCCAGUCGCAAAGUGGGCACAUAAUGGAUGGCACAGGCCUUGUCCUCUGUGCGCAAGCUUGGCAGAAAAUAAGGGGAGAGGAAGUACCCAGCCAGGGCCCUAACCGCUGUAUCCCAGCUGCCAGUCGAUUCAAGGAGAAAGGAGCUGGGUAUGGUAGCACACACCUGUAAUCCCAAGACCCUGGGAGGCUGAAGCAAGAGGACCAAGAGUUAGAGCUCAGCCUGCAUAACUAAGUGAGAUUCUGACUUACAACUAAAAAUAAAUAGCUGGCCACAGUGACACAUUCCUGUAAUCCUGAUUCUCAAGAGAUGGAGGCAGGAGGAUUACAGUGAGGCUGGGGCCAGCCUGGGUUACAUAGCGAAAUCAAGACCAGCCUGAAUGACAUAGUGAGACCCUGUCUCAAAAAAGCCAACAAACAAAGAAACAAAGAAAGGACUAAGAGUGUAAUGUGAAGGCUCGGGUUCAAUCCCCAUUGCAAAAAUAAAAGUAAUGGCGAAGCCUGUAGUACAUGGCCAGCACCAAGGACAUGUAGAAUUCAUGGCUAUGGCCACAACAAUGAUAAAUGCGCCAUGUAUUCUUAGCUCUAGCAAGUUUACCUCCAGCAAACAACCUUGUGGCUGCACAGCCCAUGCAGGAAAACCACAAAUCGCCAAGGCUUGCCCCUGUAGCACCACUAUAAGGGGACCAGAGGUCACUCAAUGGAGUGCCACACAGCUGUCAGAGAGGCCAGGAGAUGGCCUCAUUCAGAGUGGCCUAGUGGCCACAUGAGCAGGAGAAAACUAGGACUACAGGGGGCUGGGGAUUUAGCUCAGCGGCAUAAGUGCCUGCCUUGCAAGCAGGUGGUUGUGAGUUUGAUCCCCGGUACAUAUUAAAACAAAACAAAACUAAGAGUACAGAGCAGGAUGAUGAACAAAGCUACAUUUGGGACAAAAGGGGAGAAUAUAGGCAUAUAUGUUCUUAUUUGCUUGAUCUUUCUUAAAGAAAUGUUAGAAAAGCUAGAAAUCCAGUUACUCAUAUAGUGGGGCAUGAGGAACAAGCACUUCUCUGUGGGCAACUUUCACAACAAUAAAAGCUGACACUUUGUAACAGAGUAAUUGCUGCAUGCCAGCCAUCCCUGAGGGAUUGCUCUAUGUGUGAGAAUCAUUAUUGUUACCAGCUGUAGUGUCAUGAGGCUGUCCUGGCAAAAUGGAAGGAGUAAUCAUGUGUGCUCAACUCUACUGUAAGCACAAUAACCCAAAGACUCACUCUGUCCUCACAGCAUACACACUUUCUCUCCACUUUAUGGGGGGAAGAACUGGGUUCCAGAGAGGUUAUGUUACUGGCUCCAGGUCCCACAGCUAGAAAAUGGCAGAGUUGGGCUGGGGAUUUAGCUCAGUGGCAUAAGCGCCUGCCUUACAAGAAGGCAGUUAUGAGGUCAAUCCCUGGUAUCGAUAAAAAAAAAAAAAAAAAAAAAAAAAAAAAAGUGGCAGAGUUGGGAUUUGAACCCAGACUGCCUGGCUUCAGAACCAAGUAUAAGCAUCAUUUGUUUGUCUAUCUGUCUUACACUACUGGAGAUCCAACUGGACAUUUUACCACAGAGCUAUAUCACUAGCCCUUUAAAGUUUUUAUUUUGAGACCACUUCUCACCAAGUUGCCAAGGCUGCGCUCAAAUUUUCAAUCCUCAUGAUUCAGCCUUCCGAAUAGCUGGGAUUACAAGUGUGCUACCAUGGCAAGUCCACAUAUUUUAAAAGCCAAUAUUCAUUAAAAGAUAAUUAUCAUUCAU